rnacentral:rRNA from 1 species
UAAGGAAUAUUGCUCAAUGGGAGAAAUCCUGAAGCAGCAACGCCGCGUGGAGGAUGAAGGGUCUAUGACUUGUAAACUCCUGUAAAGAAGGAAAAAAUUCCCAUUUGAUGGGAGAUGAUGGUACUUCUGGAGUAAGCCCCGGCUAACUACGUGCCAGCAGCCGCGGUAAUACGUAGGGGGCAAGCGUUGUCCGGAUUUACUGGGUGUAAAGGGUGCUCAGGCGGAUUUGUAAGUCAGAGGUGAAAUCUUACAGCUUAACUGUGAAACUGCCUUUGAUACUGCAACCCUAGAGUAUGGAAGAGAGUGAUGGAAUAUCUGGUGUAGCAGUGAAAUGCGUAGAUAUCAGAUAGAACACCAAUGGCGAAGGCAGUCACUUGGUCCAUUACUGACGCUAAAGCACGAAAGCGUGGGUAGCAAACA